rnacentral:rRNA from 1 species
AUUGAACGCUGGCGGCAGGCCUAACACAUGCAAGUCGAACGGUAACAGGAAGAAGCUUGCUUCUUUGCUGACGAGUGGCGGACGGGUGAGUAAUGUCUGGGAAACUGCCUGAUGGAGGGGGAUAACUACUGGAAACGGUAGCUAAUACCGCAUAAUGUCGCAAGACCAAAGAGAGGGACCUUCGGGCCUCUUGCCAUCGGAUGUGCCCAGAUGGGAUUAGCUAGUAGGUGGGGUAACGGCUCACCUAGGCGACGAUCCCUAGCUGGUCUGAGAGGAUGACCAGCCACACUGGAACUGAGACACGGUCCAGACUCCUACGGGAGGCAGCAGUGGGGAAUAUUGCACAAUGGGCGCAAGCCUGAUGCAGCUAUGCCGCGUGUAUGAAGAAGGCCUUCGGGUUGUAAAGUACUUUCAGCGGGGAGGAAGGGAGUAAAGUUAAUACCUUUGCUCAUUGACGUUACCCGCAGAAGAAGCACCGGCUAACUCCGUG